rnacentral:rRNA from 1 species
AUGGCAAAAUAUUUUUGGAGUAGCUCUCUUGACAAAAAAAAAUUAAUGCAUUGGGUGUCCUGAAAGGAGUUGUCAACACCCAAGUGCAAGGGUGGGAUGGGGUUUCAUGACCCACAUCUCUUUAAUCUGGCUAUGCUGGGCAAACAUGGUUGGCGUUUCAUCACCAACCCUAAUUCGCUUUGUGCUCGAGUUCUCAAGGGUCGUUACUUCCUAGACACCGACUUCAUGCAUGCUCCAACUCCCAAGUCAGGUUCGUCCACUUGGAGGGCAAUUGUGGCUGGAAGAAAUGCCUUGCAGACUGGUUUAAUCUCCAGAGUGGGAGAUGGCUCGACUAUCUCAGUUUGGGAGGACAAGUGGAUCCCAGGCACGGUCUCCAUGACACCAACUCAUAGGCCUACAUAUACGAAUAUCGAACGGGUGUCGGACCUCAUCGACAUAGGGAGUUGGUCUUGGAAGCAUGAUGUGAUUACGGACAAUUUUACCGCCUAG